UGGAAUUUGCAUGCUAUCUUUAUUUAGCCAACCAAACAUGUUUACAUGAUUUUCAUUAUGAUGCAUUUGUCUGAGUAUGAUGGGUCCCUGGGUAGCUUCAGCAUUGCCUUUGACGUCUUUGAAGGCAUAUUUGUUUCCCUGAUCCCUGUUUUUUUUCCUACAGGCACAUGUUCGGGUGAUUUUCACUUGGCAAUAGUGAUAGAGGGUAAAGUAGAUAGAUAGAUAGAUAGAUAGAUAGAUAGAUAGAUAGAUAGAUAGAUAGAUAGAUAGAUAGAUAGAUAGAUAGAUAGAUAAUUUCAAGGGGAAUUUCAAAAAACAGAGGCAGCACCAAUGAAACACAGUACACAUUCUACAAAUACUGUAACAAUAUUUACACUAAAAGAAUGAUUUUAAAAAAGUCUAUAAACAUGAUCAUAAGGCAGUAGUGCAGAGUUAAAAGGCAUAAUAAACAGUGUGAUAACUUUUGCACUGUGGUCUACUCCAUUUACAAAGUUGUGAUUUUCAAGGGAAUUCAUAUUUAGUCAGCUGGUCAUUUUUACUCACUCCAAAUCUGCCAUAUUUUGGUUCUCUCUCCUGCAGCUGUUAUUGUGCCAAGG